rnacentral:rRNA from 1 species
GCCCUUCACUCUGGGACAAGCCCUGGAAACGGGGUCUAAUACCGGAUAACACCUGCCCGGGCAUCCGGGUGGGUUAAAAGCUCCGGCGGUGAAGGAUGAGCCCGCGGCCUAUCAGCUUGUUGGUGAGGUAGUGGCUCACCAAGGCGACGACGGGUAGCCGGCCUGAGAGGGCGACCGGCCACACUGGGACUGAGACACGGCCCAGACUCCUACGGGAGGCAGCAGUGGGGAAUAUUGCACAAUGGGCGAAAGCCUGAUGCAGCGACGCCGCGUGAGGGAUGACGGCCUUCGGGUUGUAAACCUCUUUCAG